rnacentral:rRNA from 1 species
UACGAAGGGGGCUAGCGUUGUUCGGAAUUAUUGGGCGUAAAGAGCGUGUAGGCGGCCAGAUAAGUCCGCUGUGAAAUCUCGAGGCUCAACUUCGAGCUGUCGGUGGAAACUAUCUGGCUAGAGUCCGGAAGAGGAGAAUGGAAUUCCUGGUGUAGCGGUGAAAUGCGCAGAUAUCAGGAAGAACACCCGUGGCGAAGGCGGUUCUCUGGGACGGUACUGACGCUGAGACGCGAAAGCGUGGGGAGCGAACAGG